CCAGGAAAGAAGGCGGCCCCAAGAGACCUUGUUGAUGUUCAAGGAUCACCUCCUCCAAGACCAAGCAAGCACCAUCCCAACAAGUAGGAAAUCAAAGGCAGCAGGAGACUGGCAUGGGUGAGUAAGGAGCUCCUAACUGAACUCAGACAUAAAAAGGAAGUGUAUAAGGAGCGGAAGCUGGGACAGGACAGAGGAGUAUGCUGUCUGAUCUUGCCGAGAUAGCACUUGAAAAGCCAAGACCGACCUGGAGUUGCAUUUGGCCACAUUUCCGGAUGUGAACACAUGGAGGGCAAUGCUGCAAAGAAGAAGAAGAAGACCAAGCAUGUAUGUUAGGCAAUGGUUACUGCAAAAGCAGCAAGAAACAGACUUUGGGACACACACCGCAGCCCUGUGCUCUUAAAGACCACAGCCACAGCAGAAAGAGCAGAGUAGAAGAUGACCCUCUGUGAAGGAUUUCGCAGUUACUGCAGCACACUGAAGAGCAAGAGGCUGUUGAGUACAACGAGGAUGCAUCCCUGGGAUUACCACUGGCUGCACUCCCAAGCCCUGAGGAGGCAUUUGAACACCCAGAUUUACCCUACGCUCAAAUGUAGCAGGAGUGGUGGAGGAGGUGACAGACCACCCCAUGGCUUCUGCGGCCCAUACUCAGCAGUGGGAAUGGCUGAUCAUGAGAUUCAAGGCUAGACGAUAUGUAAAAGAAUACAGCUUAGUUAAUUUAGAUCAGGUGUCACUACAUGAAGCUUAUGAAACAUUUGUUCAGGGUGUAGAAAAGAUUUUUGAUCAUUUACACUAUCUGUAUGAACCUGUUGAUUAUGCCCAGCUCUGUCUUGAAACUGCCAGCAUGAGUAACUCUUUGUAAUCUCACACUACAAAUUUAUGCUAUAUGAAGGCUGUGAAAUUCGGGUCAGUAAUGUUUUGCAAAGUAAAAAAGAGAUGUGUUUUGAUCAGUCUUUCUGCCUAGCUACUGUGAUUUUAAAAGCCAUUAGGAAUGGGGUAUGCAGAAUCCUACAGUCUAUCUUCCAUUCCAAAACUAUGGACAAAAAGUGAUAUUAUUUAAUUCACCUAAAUAACAGUCACAAUAAUCUCUGUUUUGCUGGGAGUCUUACAGAGAGCUUACAGCUGUGAGGGACCUAACAGAUGCAGAAUUGUUAAGCAGAGCAAAAGAGCUACAGGACAAACUAGGCUGGGCUGUGCACAGGAAGGCCGUGCUGAGCAACAUCUCCUUGUCCGAGAAUCUGCAGCAUGUAAAUACUGCUCCUGUCUGAAAGAAAAAAAAAGGGUUCGGAGACUUUUAAGCCAAAUCGUGGUCUUUGAUAUCGCAGGAUCUGUUUCCUCCUUUUACAUGAUUAAUAUUAUUAUGCUGUUAAGGAUGCCAGGAAGUUAUUUUGGCUGUAUCAAAUGCUACCAUCAACAUGACCAGAACCAUGUGGCCGGGAACAACCUUUGGGUAUUUGUAUUGCACAACACAGCAAAAGAGGGACGACCUAAAGAAAGCUGGAUUUCAUGUCAGAUCUAUAUGGCAGCAUGAGUGGGUUGAUAUGACAAAAUCCAAUGGGGAGCUUGCACAGUUCUUACCCAGGACCAAACUGCCAUAAUGCUGGUCCCCAGAGAUGUGCUUGCUGGUGGCAGGACAAAUUCCAUUUGUCCAUGUCACAAAGAGCUCCUGAUGAAAAGAUAAAUUUCCACGGUUUUACUAGCCUCUCUCCCUUCAUGGACAAAACAAAACAAGAGCCUUUUGGACUCCCCAGAGUUAUUUUUGAGAAUUUUGACACCCUGACAAUGUGCUUUGGGAUGGUCAAAGUAAAGGUGUACUUGCCUCGUGGGCUGUUUUUUUUGCUGUGCUUCCUAUGCAGACAAAAGUGGAAAAGCCCCUUGAGACUCCUGAGGCCUCUGACCCUGUAGUUCAGGGGGUGUUGCAUUAUGGGCAUACACAAUAUCAGAGGAAUGCAUAAGUAUAUUAGGGCAAUACAAGCAUAUUUCUUCUGGGGAUAACCAGGGAAGUUGUGCAACUCAUAACCAUGCUUGCUGGUCCUGGAGAAACAUGGGCCCUAGGGAGCCAGUUGCUUAGGUAAACACCUAGAAAUAAGAGGUGGGCCUGUGCAAAUCUCAUGAAGUUCAACAAGUUCAACAAGGCCAAGUGCAAGGUCCUGCACCUGGGUGAUGGCAAUCCCAAGCACGAAUACACACUGGGUGGAGAAUGGAUUGAAAGCA